rnacentral:rRNA from 1 species
CGGCGUGCUUAACACAUGCAAGUCGAACGCGAACGGGGCUUCGGCCCCAAGUAGAGUGGCGCACGGUGAGUAACGCGUGGACAAUCUGCCCUUAUGACUGGAAUAACAGUUGGAAACGGCUGCUAAUACCGGAUACGCUCAGGAAGAACUUUUUUGAGGAAAGGCGGCCUCUACUUGCAAGCUGUCGCAUAAGGAUGAGUCCGCGUCCCAUUAGCUAGUUGGCGGGGUAACGGCCCACCAAGGCAACGAUGGGUAGCCGAUUUGAGAGGAUGAUCGGCCACACUGGGACUAAAACACGGCCCAGACUCCUACGGGAGGCAGCAGUGGGGAAUAUUGCGCAAUGGGCGAAAGCCUGACGCAGCGACGCCGCGUGAGGGAUGAAGGUUUUUCCGGAUCGUAAACCUCUGUCAGAAGGGAAGAAACUGCCGUGCUCUAAUCAUCAUGGCAUUGACGGUACCUUCAAAGGAAGCACCGGCUAACUCCGUGCCAGCAGCCGC